GAUUCAGAAUGGUUGUCUGUUCAAGAAUUUGUGGUGGUUAUGCUGGUGUUGCUCCUGUUGGUGGACCUCUAAUACUUGAAGCUGCAGACACUGUGUGAGAAGCAAUGCAUGUGGGCUUUCUGACUGAAGCUCUUUGACUCCACCCUUCUUGGAGAGUCUUAAUCUAUACCUGACAUGUGCCUUUUCUGCUAGGCAGGCAUUUGUCAAAGAGAAAGAUGGAGUAAAAGGUAACUAUUUAUCUAUUGAGUUAGAUAGAAUUGACCGAAAGAUGCUGAGCCAUGGCUUCUAUCCGGUGGUAACUGUCUUCAUGGCAUUGCUGUAAGCUCUGAGACGUGCUCGAUAGUGCCAAGCUUUUGCAUCAUCUAUACAUAUUCAUUAUUUUCAUGUGUAAGAGAACCAAAUGUUUGGUUUGAAUUAUCUAUACUUUGGGUUGAAUGGUUCGGGCAGUGUACUUAACUAACGAAGUCUACAUUUGACUAGCCAGAUAUAUGGUUCCAAGGUGACAAUAAAGAACAUAGGCUAUAUUCCAAUCUCAGAUAUUUGGAGUCCUCAAAUAGAUGGUAGGUUUAGAUCAUGAGAUUUUGUAUACAAUAUCAUUAAUGGACUUGGUAUCCUUAAUAAAGAGCAUCAAGGGGUCUUUUAAUUCAAUGAUGUACAUUCAAGAAUCUAAAAUUGUUUAAUUGUAUUAUUGUUUCUCUUGAAAUUAUUGCCAAUCUCCAGGAGAAAGUACGUAUGAAUGUAACAUGUGCAUUUGCGAUACUUCUUUUCUUUGGUUUAUUAUUUGUUGUGAUGAUACCUUUAUGUGAACCUUAGUUGAAUUUACUCUAAAAUUAAAUCCUCCUUUAUUUGUAGCCCUUCCAAAUCUUUACGUGUUCAAUGUAUUCUUCCCAAUGCAAGUGCAGAAAUAGUGACAUUUAACAUUAAUUAUAAGAUGGGAACAUAACAUUACCAACAAAUCCCAUGUAAACUUGAAAUUCCGGGAGUCGUUUUACGCAAGCUCGUUUUGGAGAAAUUGCAGUUAAAAGCUUCGAGGACCGGUAGCGUUUGCGUUUGGCAGGAAGAUGCGAAGUUGGGGCCAGUUCAGUCUUCGAAGGUUGCUGAGGGUUGCUGCCG
rnacentral:lncRNA from 1 species